CGGAGUCCUUGGGUUCACUCUGGGAAAGGUGUCACCAAAGCUCCCCUUUCUGCAGCAUGCGGUGAGUUUUCCAGAAAUCAGCUGUUUGAAGAGGGGGAACAUGUUUCUUAGAAGAGCUGCACCAUACAAUGAAUUACCUAAGAUGAAGUGCUUUUCCUGCCUCAGUCCAUGUCCACCCCCAAGGUCGCUGUGAUUUGGAAUGAAAAGGAGACAGGUUUAUUAGAGUACCACCACUGGACAAUUACACAUCUUCUUAGUCCAAUCUGGUUCCAAACACUCAGUGAGAACCAGUGGAAACAACAAUUACCACAAGAAUGCAAGAACUCAAAGAGUGACAAGUGGUGACUGAAUGCACGAGGUAAUGAAAGUGGAAAAUAACUUUCAUUUCUUGAAGAUGGAAAAAACUUGCUUGGUUGUUACUGGUAUCAAAUGUACAAACUUAAGGGAGACAGACACUUCAAAUAAAGCUAGUUUACAAAUCUCAGAGGAACAAAGCAAACCAUUGCAACAAGCCCAGGUUAUGCUCACCAAUA